rnacentral:rRNA from 1 species
UCCGUAGGAGAAAAGGGGGAGGGAUCAUUA